rnacentral:rRNA from 1 species
AACGAACGCUGGCGGCAGGCCUAACACAUGCAAGUCGAGCGCCCCGCGAGGGGUGCGGCGUGCGGGUGAGUAACGCGGGGGAACGAACCCCUUGCUACGGACUAGCCUGGGGGAACUGGGGGUAAUACCGUGGGUGUCCUUCGGCAGAAAGAUUUAUCGGCAAGGGAUCGGCCCGCGUUGGAUUAGGUUGUUGGUGGGGUAAUGGCCUACCAAGCCGACGAUCCGUAUCUGGUUUGAGAGGAUGGACCGCCACACUGGGACUGGGACACGGUCCAGACUCCUACGGGAGGGAGCAGUGGGGAAUCUUAGAAAAUGGGCGCUAGCCUGAUCUAGCCAUGACGGGUGAGCGAUGAAGGCCUUAGGGUUGUAAAGCUCUUUCAGGCGGGAAUAUAAUGACUGUACCCCCAGAAGAAGCCCCGGCUAACUCCGUG